AAUUUGGGAGGCCAAGGCCGGCUGGUCUCAAACUCCUGACCUCAAGUGAUCUGCCUGCCUUGGCCUCCCAAAGUGCUGGGAUUACAGGUGUGAACCACCAUGCCCAGCCUGAUUCUGCAUUUCUAAGAAGCUACCCGGUGAUGCUUAUGUUACUGCUCUAUGAACCAACCACAUGUUGAGCCUUGAGCUGUGAAGGAGCUAUGGUUGGAAGGAACUUGGCAUUGACACGGAGCUGAGUGAGGCCAGAGUGGUUGGAAUGCAGAGUGACAGGGAGAGUGGCGGGAAGGGAGCAGGGCAACUCAGCCCCUAGGGACCUCCAUGCAGUGCCCUGUAGGCCCAGAUGUUCUGCCUGAUCCCAGAAGCAAAGGAUCUUAAGCCAC
rnacentral:lncRNA from 1 species